GACAGAGGGUGCAAACGUUGUUCGGAAUUACUGGGCGUAAAGCGCGUGUAGGCUGCUUCGAAAGUCGGAUGUGAAAGCCCUGGGCUCAACCUAGGAAGUGCAUUCGAAACUUCGAAGCUGGAGUCCUGGAGAGGAAGGCGGAAUUCUCGGUGUAGAGGUGAAAUUCGUAGAUAUCGAGAGGAACACCGGUGGCGAAGGCGGCCUUCUGGACAGUGACUGACGCUGAGACGCGAAAGCGUGGGGAGCAAAAGGG
rnacentral:rRNA from 1 species